rnacentral:lncRNA from 1 species
AAAAAAAAAAAGGAUUAGAAAAUUUAUACUGCUUUAAAUACCCAGUGAGUAUAGUAUAUGAUUGCUGGAAAAGUCGUUCAUCCUGACCAAGAACAAUACAAUAACAACAAAACCAUUACCUGGAAAAACCAACUAGAAAUUCAGUGAGAACAUUUUAGCUUUUUCCUUUUAAAUUUUUAAAAUUCUGACAUUGCCUGGUUACAUUGAAACAGCCCUGUUGUGUCAUCCUACUUUCUUUUUCCUGGUAUUUUCCUCUUUGGGACUUUGGUUUCAUUAAUCUCAAUUUGUUCUGAAGGCACUAAGGCAGAUUUUCAAAGAGCUGUAAUUGUCACAGGGAGAGCACAAUGACUUAUUGAAGUUUCACAUGUUGCUCUUUUUGGAACUACCAGAGAUUGGAACCAAUUCUCCAUCCACAUCUCUAUCCGAGAGUUAAGUUUUCUCUUCUCUGGUGCUUGUCAAAAGUAUUUCUCCCAGCUAAUCUCAUUCCCAGUUGCCAAAGAAAAGAUCUCAAGCAUAACUCCUCAUCUCCAGGUCACCCGACAAGAUCUUGCAGUUCUACUUCUAAGUAUGUAAUCCAGAGAAAAUUCUGACUUGUGUAUAAAAGAAGACUCAUUCAAUAAUGUUUAUUUCAAAUGAACAAAAAAGCAGCUGAAAAAAAUCAUGAUAUAUUCAUUGUAUAGCAGUAAGAAUGAAUGAAGUAAACCUGUAUGUAGUAACAUAGGAAGAAAAAAGACGAAUCAACAUCUCCCUUGGAAAAUACUCUAGACCAAAUUUCUGCUUCUGUGGGCCUGGUUUCUACAAUCUUGUUUGGCUACAAUUCAUGUUGACUUUACGUAAGGAUUGCCAAUUCAUGCCCAAACUUAGUGAAGCAAGCUCACUUGAUAAAGAAAUGAAUUUCAGGAUUUAACUAUGUAACACCAUCAUUCUUUUUUCCCCCCCAUCAAGUAGUAUAUCUGCCAGGGUUUGUGUGUGUCAUACUGUCCUGGACUCUGUAUAGCAAAGAUUUAAUGACCAUGGACCUUACCUUUGUUCUAAAAAAAAAAUCUUUGACUCCACCAUUUUUAUAAUAAACACUUGCAAACUCACACCUUCUCUUGCUAACUGAGCAGGAGAAUAGUUGCUUGUUUCUUUCUCUAUAUAAAAGACAAAUGUCUUUAUCUUGUGGAAAAUCCAGUGUCACCUUUCAUAGAUACUAAAAUAUUUCCUUUCUUCAUUUCUAAUGAGACUUCCUGUUUGGU